rnacentral:rRNA from 1 species
AUUGAACGCUGGCGGCAUGCUUUACACAUGCAAGUCGAACGGCAGCACGGGUGCUUGCACCUGGUGGCGAGUGGCGAACGGGUGAGUAAUGCAUCGGAACGUGCCCAUGAGUGGGGGAUAGCCCGGCGAAAGCCGGAUUAAUACCGGCAUACGCCCUUAGGGGGAAAGCGGGGGAUCUUCGGACCUCGCGCUAUUGGAGCGGCCGAUGUCGGAUUAGCUAGUAGGUGAGGUAAAGGCUCACCUAGGCGACGAUCCGUAGCUGGUCUGAGAGGAUGAUCAGCCACACUGGGACUGAGACACGGCCCAGACUCCUACGGGAGGCAGCAGUGGGGAAUUUUGGACAAUGGGCGCAAGCCUGAUCCAGCCAUGCCGCGUGAGUGAAGAAGGCCU